rnacentral:lncRNA from 1 species
GGGGGGGAGUUUCCCGACGCCCCCACCUCUUGAUUUGUAUUUAAAACUCCCAUUUUCCUCCGAGGAGCUCAAGGUGGCGAACACACACUCCCCCCCCCUUGAUUUGAUCUUCACAACAACCCUGUGAGGUAGGUUGGGCGGAGAGGGGCUGUGAGGCCAUAAAGGGCACGUGUGUCGUUCAGCUCAGUUGGUAGAGCACCUGCUUUGCAUGCAGAAGGUCCCGGGUUCAGUGCCCCCUGGCAUUUCCAGAUAAGGGGGGGGGGGCUGGGAAAGAGACCCCCCCAGCCUGAAACCUUGAAGAGCUGUUGCCUGUCAGUGUAGACAGCACUGAGCUAGGUGGACCAUUGGUCGGACUCUGUAUAAGGGAGCUUCCUGUGUUCCUGUAUGUCUUUGGAGAAAGGCCAUAGCUCAGGUGGUAGAGCAUCUGCUUUGCAUGCAGAAGGUGCCAAGUGCAAUCUCUGGCAUCUCCAGGUAGGGCUGGGGAGAGAGAUCCCCUUCUGAAACCCUGGAGAGCUGCUGCCCGUCAGGAAACUCAGUCUACACUAUGUCCCCUAAAGGGCUGUAGCUCAGUGGUUGAGAUUUGCAUGUAGAAGAUCCCAGGUUCAAUCCCCAAAGGUAUCUCCAGGUAGGGCUGGAGAAGACCCUCCUUCUGAAAUUCAGAGUGGGAUGAUGGGAGUUUCAGCCUAACAACAUCUGGAGGGCACCACACGUGCUACCUCUGCACCAAGAUGGAAGCUAAAGGAAUUUCUGGUUCCACUGGAUCAUUUUGGAGACACUUUCAAUUGUUGCAGCUCAGUCCUAUGCAGCUCAGAGUAACCAAAUGAAACUUUUAACACAUGACAUGAUAAAAGUCUGUAAUUUUAUCAGGACAAGUUACUUGUUGUUUACUGUUGUAGCAAUUGUUUUCUCAAAAUUUAUCUUCAGUACCAUGAAAAUAAAAACAGUAUUAAAAAAAGGAAAGAAAAGUCUGCAGGAAUAAACAGGUUAUUUUUCUCCCACUUUCAUUUCAGAGGACUCCUUUCCCACUUUGAUUAAAUCUAUCAGUUCAUCCUUUGCUGAUCCAGUGCAGUCUCCACUGCCAUCAUUCUCAUAUCCUGUUAGACUAAGGUUACCAGAUUUUUUUCAAUGAAUCCUGGGACACUUUUCAACUUCCUACUAAAUAGAUGGAUUUUGUCAGGGGACCAAUUUGUAAAUCCGGGGACUGUCCCCGGUAAAUGGGGACGUCUGGUAACCUUAUGUCAGACCACUAGGAUGUACUGGCAUUCCCCCCCAGUUUUUAAUAAUCAAAACUAUGUUGCUAGAUGCCAGCUCCUUAGCUACCACCGCCACCACCUGUAAUUUUUGAGGUCUAGUAAUAAGAGGGGGAUAACCAUAUAAGCCACCUUGAGCUUUAUGGAGAAAAAUGUGGAAUAUAAAUGCAGUAAAUGAAUACAUAUUAAAGGCCUUCCAUCCCCCCCACAUCUCCAUUUGUCUCAAGGGCUCCAGUAGGCAGUAUACUGGAGGACAAACAGCUGUUUUCUUCAUGCCCCCAUUUUAUUUCCUAGGGCUGUGGUUCCCAAACUUUUUCUGCCAUGGACCACUUGAAAACUGCUGAGGGCUUCGUGUAGCACUUAAUGUUUCUGCCUCUUGUAGCAACUGUAAUGCACUGUGCUAGACACUAUGAUUUUUACUUUUAUUUUUAUUGCUUCUUUUAAUUCCUAUAUAUUGUUGGUUUAUUGUAUUACAAUUUGGAUUCUAUAGAAUUUAGAUUUCAGUACAAUAAAAUGAAGUGUAAGGAAUAAAAUAAUAAAAAUUAAGUAUCACUAUGAACAUUUAAUGCAAUGGAUGUGCUGUCUCCCAUCUUCAACCACAAAGCCACAUACACACCACAGGCCACCUGAAUGGACCAGUUUGGGAACACCUGGCAAAACAAAAAUAUUGAAUGAAAACCAAGUGUUGUAUGAGAUAGGUCUUUGGUCUGAUCCAGCAGGGCAGUUCUUAAAGGAGAGAAAUGAGCCACACCCAUCUAGCAAAGUUCCUUGCACCUAAUACUCUGCUUGGGCAAGUAUGAUUCAUGAAAAUGUUCAAACCUUAGUGACUCGGUAUUGUGACACUACUAGAGCAGAAUUAGGCCCACGAAUAUAGUGCAGAACUUCAUUGCUAGAUAUGCUUUAACAUUUAUUUAUAUUCUUUACUUACUGGUUUUCUAAUACUCUUUCUUCAGGGAUUAAGUUGGUGGCUACCAGAGGAUUAUCUCAAAGAGGCUUCCUGGCUCUGGAAUUUGCUCUCCAAGGAGAUUAGACCAGCUCUGUCAUGAAUAGCUUUGGGAUGCCAAGCCAAACUUGUUCCAUUCACUCAAGUUCUGUUUUUUUUAAUAGUAAUUCACUUCAACCAUAUUUGAUGAUUUUUAACUGCUUGUUUUUGUUUGUAGUGAUUUUAAUUGAAAUUAUAAGCCAC